UUUGCCUCUGCUUUGUCGUGCUGGAGCUCUCCAGCCUAGCUAAGGGUGGGGAUCCUCGGUUUGCUUUGGUAAAACGGUCUCGGGCUCUGGGACUGCUCGCGGCGCUGCUCGUGCUCUCUGCAGCCAAAGGACGCCGGGGCUGCCACCUGCACUUCUGCCUUCCCCAGGCAUUAACAGAAGUGAGACCACGAAAGAACAGACACAAAUGGCUUUAAAACAAAGACCCGUGUAUUUCUACUAGACUAUACAGAGGAUGUCCUGCAGGAUGAAAGAUUGCCUUCCUGUCAGUUUUAUAUGGCCUCUACACCACAAAUUCCAAUUUAAGCCUUUUAAAAAGAAUCAGCCAUGCCUUUCAUUAUAUAUUUUGUUGGGGGAUAACGAACUACAGCAGACUGCUCUCAAUAGAACAAAUGGCUUGCUUUGUCACAGAACCAUGGUUGUAAGUCAAAUUAUCACCACAGAGAAGCACACAUUUUGUUUGAAACAUUAAUACUUACUGUGCUGCUCCUUCCCUGAGAAGAUUGUCAUUGUUGAGCAAUAACCGGACAUCUGGAGAAAAAAGGGUGUUCAGAUAGGUUAUUGGUUCUUGAUCAAAUGUUUCUUUAUUUCAUUUUCAACUGUACAAAAACAUGAAUAAUUAAAAUCGUUUCAUCAGGCGUAAGUAGUCACAGAAUGAGUGCGUGCUUUUCCCUUACUUAUACUUGACCCUAAGAGCAACAUAUCAUAACAUAACCAUAGACUCUCAUAGUAGGUGAAAUGUGAAGAAAAUGCUACUGAUCAUGUUCCUUCACCUACUUACCAUUGAAUACUUCAUUGAAUUCUCCAGGGGGUGCAUGAGUGAUGAAUUUUGCAGCUAUACGCACCUACAAUGAUGCAGAGAAGUAAUUAAAGACAAAAGAUCAUUUACUGAAUUCAUACACACCGCAACCUACACUGAAGCAAUUCACCAGCAAACCCAAAUCUGACAGUAAUAACAAGCCCCGUGCUUAGGGAGAAAUCCAGAUGUGUUUUCCAAGUAGAAAUCCUCAUUCUCAUAAGACUAGGCAUUUUUUCAGUGCAAAGAAACUCCGAAUGUACUCAGCAAGAACAUCAAAUUUCAUGUGGGCACCCGUUAGAAUGGGAACUAUUCAACCUUCAUAGCUGUAUUUUUUUUUUUUAAGAAUAUAAAUGCUGGCUAUCCCCUCUUGGUGACAUUUCUAAACGUUUUUUCCUGGUCUUUGCUAGUAAUCAGGAACCUAAAUGCCAACAUAUAAAAAGAACAAGAAACCACUGCAGUAAAACUGGUACUUUAACUAGAUGGCAACCAACAGCGUGAUCACGCUGCCAAGGUGUGUCUGACACACUGCAAGACUUGUUGGCUCCCUGUGAUGCAACGUGUUUGCUGCUUACAGCUGGCUGAAGGAGAUGCCGCUGACUCACAGCAAACAAUGGGUGGAGGAUGAGGUUGAUCCCUCUAUAAAAUGAGCAGUAAAUCAAUUACAUCAACUGCCACUGGAUUCUGUGUGGAUCUGUUUGUUCUGUCCUUCUAAACACCUCCUGGGGAACGACAACAAACUCCCAGUGCAGGAUCCUUUGGUGCAUCCUGAAGUGUUCUUGUACUGCAGAGAGCACAAGCUACAGCCCAGCUAUUAGCAACCAUAAAGAAACAUUUCUGGUAGAAUCCAUCUCCAAAGGCAAGUGCAGCAUUAUCUUUGGGAAUAUAAGGCCAGGAAAUGUAAACGAAGCCUGUUCUUGCACAUCAUGAAGUACCUCUCCAAGCCUUGCAGAGCUGUGUUUAAGCAUGUGUCUGUGUGUCUACUGAUUAUAGAAACAGACCCACAGAAUGCUUUGGGUUGGAAGGGACCUCAGAGACCAUCUAAUUCCACCCUGCUCCAGUGCCUCACCACCCUCUGAGUGAAGAAUUUCUUCCUAAUAUCCUAAUCUGAACCUACCCUCUUUUAGUCUGACACCGUUUCUCCCUGUCCUGUCACCCCACUCCCCGGCAGAGCCCCUCUCCUGCUUUCCUGUAGGCCCCUUUUUAGGAACCUGCUCUUCAUCUGCAUGUGUCCUGUGCAAAAACAUCGAGGGGAUAUACUCAAACUUUUAGAUGUUAAACCUAGCUGGACAUAGUGGAGAGCUUGUUAAAAUGAUGCUGGCUUAUCAAAAAGGUGCUGAAUUUGGAACUGGUCAGGGCUUUAUUUCAGAAUGUGCUGGUUUCUUGUUAUCAAAGCCAUGCUAGGCUUUCUUCAAGAGCUACUGCCUGCUUGGAGUCUCUGGGUAAGAAAAAGAACUGAGAGAUACUCCCUGUAGUGUGCCAGCAUUCCUGGCAUGUGUUCUCUCAAGGGUUACUUGGUACCCUUCUUCUUUGGCGUGUUACUCCUUCCCUUAUCUUGAAAUAGCAUUUUAUUGGAAACUGUACCGUAGCCGAGCCGUGAGCUGUCACUAGUGACAGAAUUAAGGCCUCUGGAACUGGAAUUGAUACAAUCAAUAAGUGAAAAGGCCAGCUGGCAGGAAAAUACCUGGGUAUCUGUAAACUCUGAAGCUGUAAAAGCAAAAAUAAGGUUCUUUUACCUUUUUAUUAAAAAAAAAAGUCUUCACUGUAUUCUGAAAUCGAAUGUACUUGUCUUGGAUUAUUAGGGUUUAGGUGGCCUUUGUUUGAUCCUGUUGAAACCAUUAAGAGUUUAUUUUUAUAACCAAAUCUUUUAUGCUUUUUACAAGACAGAAAGGAAUAAAAUCUUCUUGGACAAGACUUGAAACAGGAAAUGUCACAAAACUGGAUCUUUACCUUAGAAGGAUAAAACUGUCACUUUCUCCCAAGCACAGCUGUCAAGGCUGUAGAAGAGGCCUUCCUGCUCAGCUGGACACUUAUUGAAGAUGACUACAGAACACUUGCUAAACCUCUGAUUACUUCCCUACUUUCCAUUUGAGCAGUAAAACAAAGGUUUAUGCAUAUAUUCAACCAUUUCAUCUGAAUUACUGCCACAGCUGGAAAAAAUUGCUGCUUCAAGUCUUCCACGUUCUUGAUUAGAAAGAUGGCAUCACUUGUGAUGGUUGCGAUGAUUUAAAGUAAGCCAUGAAAGGAAACACACACCUUCCCCAACAAAGGGCAUAUUGCCUUAUUCCAGCAGUAUCGGGUAACAACUCUGUCCUUACUGGGCAGAGCUUCAGAUAAAAAUAGAUCGAUUUCCAAAUUAGCAUCUAUUAAAAACAAACAUGUUCUUUAUGCCUGAAAUAAUUCUGCAGUAUGAAUGGGAAAACAUGUACUGAAUUUUUUCAACUUGUCAAUAACUUGUGUAGGUCACGUGCAAAUAUGCAAAACGUAAAACCAUUUUCUCCUGAUUUUCUGCUUUUAGAUAAGGUUGGUAAGUAUACAUCAAUCUUCACAACAUACUGCUUAUUGUGUGAAAAUGUCCAUGAUUUAAAGGACUGGAGUUAGGACUUGCUGGUUACAUCAUCUGUUAGAUUUCACUACUGAAAGCUUGGAUGGUGAUGAAGAUAACAGCAGUAAUUAAGAAGGAUGCUUCUGCUUUCUAUCCUCUGUGGACUUCACUGAGAGGCAGCCCUAAUGUCUGCAAGACUUGAAAUUAUACCAUGUGCUUUUCUGAGAAAGUGCAAAUGUAAGCACUAAUAGAGGCGGAUCAGACUGCGCCAAGGCAUUUACAGAUCGCCACUUCAGGCCAAGAUCCAUUUCAGGGGGAGGGCUGCACUACAACAUGCACUGCAAAUUAACUCUGCAGAUGAACAGAUUACUUUUUAUAAGGUGUUUAAAUCAACAUAUGGAAAACCAAGGCCCCUAAAAUGCCAUAAAAAUGACACUAUGCACUAAAACAACAAUGAUGUGGCUGCACAAUCGUACUGUAAAUGGAGCCUUCACAGAAGGGACCAGGGCUUGGACAGGUUGACUUCUAGGUUGAUGGUUUCUGAUAGACACAUCCCUGGGGAAGGGAGCAUGAGAACAAAAAAAUAUUGCAGGAGUUUUAGCCUUCCACCUCGAAGGAUGAGCAGAACACAAAGGGGGCUCUGCAUUUCGAUCAAAUGUCCUUGCAGAACCAGCCAUGAGCAAGCAGCAAGCGCUGCACGUGAAAACUGCUCCCUGUUAAAGCACCCCGUGCACUGACUCUCCUGUGAAGCAAUCAAAUACAAAGCACUUAUAUCAAGAUACUGAAAUCAGGAGUGGAGUUCAGGAAACAGACUGUGAAGUACCUAAUCCUAAAUGUCAAGCAUCUGAACCGCUGUUACUUGUCAUUUUUGGAGUUGAUUUGUUUCAAAGCGGUGUGAGCGCGGCGGCAGGAUGUUCGCUUGCAGAAGCACAAGAAGACUUUGUGCACACUGACCUAUUUCCUGGCCACCGUUACCAUUUCAGGUAGCUCCGCAGUAAGCGAGCAAAACUGACUUCCUUUUUCUAAAAUGGGGAAAGUAGCUGACGGGGAAGCUGCUCGAUACUAGUUUAAACUGGUAAAAUGGCAGCAGAAAACAGACAACAGGACACACCGCAGUGAGGUUUAAAGUAAUGAACCCCCAGCUUUCCUAAAAUGCACCUACAGAGAAUAAAGAAAACCCUCACCACCUCUCCUCCCACCUGUGCCAGCCAUGGAGCUCCUUCAUGUUGAUGCCAGGCUGCCUGAGCCAGGACACGAACUAGAACACAGGCUCCAAUUCUAAGUGAAAUCCCAGCUACUUUGACAAAUAAAAUAUUUGGAGACAGGUCCUAGAGGGCAGGCUGUGUCUUCCCUGGGGAAGAACUGGGGAUUUCAGGUGAAUGCGGGGGCAAGAAGAACACAGCCAGGCUGGCCCCAGACCCUUGCAGCGCUGACCUGGUCCCAGCCUCAGGCCCUAGGACUAGGAGCUGAGUCCAGAUGCAGCCCACAAACAGGAUUUUGUAAUCCUGCUGGAUCACCAACAACUCACCUCCCCUGAAAGCCGCGCUGCCACAACCUGCACCUUACUUUUGGUUUAAUUUUCAGAUCGAACGCAAACGAAGGGAUGGUUUCCAUUGCAGCAGGUCGAAGGAGCUUUCAGCCAGAUGCCAGCAGCUGAGGGGUUUGCCCAGCUCCCCGUCAGGUGCCGGUGUGUGCUGCUGGCCUGCCCCUGCUGGGGGAUGCUCGUUUCCAACACCUCACCGGCCCAAGGGGCCUCUGAGGCUCAGUCGCCAUAAGGAAACCGAAAGCGGCACUUUAAGAGCAAGAUUAAACCCUGCUCCGACCUCACGGAUCUUUAACGAUCCCCAAACCUUGACGACCCGGGGAAUUUUAAUAAAUAAACCCAGCUCCUCUUCACAAGGAGGGGAAGGAAGGCGGCCGCGCUGCCUCCAGCUACCCCCCGCCGCUGCUCGCGGCCUGAGGGAGGUUGCCCCGGCCUUUGUGGCGGGGGGGAGCUGCCCGGAGCGCCGCCAGCACCGGGCGA